rnacentral:rRNA from 1 species
UACGGAGGUCCCAAGCGUUGUUCGGAUUCACUGGGCGUAAAGGGUGCGUAGGUGGUUCGGCAAGUCUUGUGUGAAAUCUUCAGGCUCAACUUGAAGUCUGCACAAGAAACUGCCGGGCUUGAGUAUGGGAGAGGUGAGUGGAAUUUCCGGUGUAGCGGUGAAAUGCGUAGAUAUCGGAAGGAACACCUGUGGCGAAAGCGGCUCACUGGACCAUUACUGACACUGAGGCACGAAAGCUAGGGGAGCAAACAGG